UUGCCAGCCGCCGCGGUAACACCGGCAGCCCAAGUGGUGGCCGCUUUUAUUGGGCCUAAAGCGUCCGUAGCCGGCCAGGUAAGUCCCUGCGUAAAUCUUCAGGCUUAACUUGAAGAAUUGCGGGGAUACUGCUUGGCUUGGGGCCGGAAGACGUGGAGGGUACUCCGGGGGUAGCGGUGAAAUGCUGUAAUCCGUCGGGGGACCACCAGUGGCGAAGGCUCUCCACGAGGACGGGCCCGACGGUGAGGGACGAAAGCCAGGGGCGCGAACGGGAUUAGAUACCCCGGUAGUCCUGGCCGUAAACGCUGCAGGCUUGGUGUUGCACGCUCUACGGGGGCGUGCAGUGCCGAAGCGAAGGCGAUAAGCCUGCCGCCUGGGAAGUACGCUCGCAAGAGUGAAACUUAAAUGAAUUGACGG
rnacentral:rRNA from 1 species